AUGUCAGCUCCUCAGGGCAGCAGCCCCUGCCUGUGCCACCACUCUGUCCCCCAGCCCCUUCUGGUCGCUGCUUCCCUCCUCCUCACACAUCCCAGCGGGGCAGGGACCUGGAAUUCUCCCGGAGGGAGACCUGUCCCCGAGGGAUGCCCUGGAGCGGGGCAGGGGCAGCCAGCCGUGUCAGAGCUGGUGGGGGUGAGAGGCCAAGGGACGAAACUGGGGAACAUUUCCAGUGGAGAGCAGAGGAGAGCAGAUAAACCCCGAAACCCCGCCCAGACUCAGCGAGCUCCGGCCCGUGGCAGGGGGUGUAGGGUUGGGAUGGAGCUGUGGGGUUGGGAUGGAGCUGUGGGGUUGGGAUGGAGCUGUGGGGUUGGGAUGGAGCUGUGGGGUUGGGAUGGAGCUGUGGGGUUGGGAUGGAGCUGUGGGGUUGGGAUGGAGCUGUGGGGUUGGGAUGGAGCUGUGGGGUUGGGAUGGAGCUGUGGGGUUGGGAUGGAGCUGUGGGGUUGGGAUGGAGCUGUGGGGUUGGGAUGGAGCUGUGGGGUUGGGAUGGAGCUGUGGGGUUGGGAUGGAGCUGUGGGGUUGGGAUGGAGCUGUGGGGUUGGGAUGGAGCUGUGGGGUUGGGAUGGAGCUGUGGGGUUGGGAUGGAGCUGUGGGGUUGGGAUGGAGCUGUGGGGUUGGGAUGGAGCUGUGGGGUUGGGAUGGAGCUGUGGGGUUGGGAUGGAGCUGUGGGGUUGGGAUGGAGCUGUGGGGUUGGGAUGGAGCUGUGGGGUUGGGAUGGAGCUGUGGGGUUGGGAUGGAGCUGUGGGGUUGGGAUGGAGCUGUGGGGUUGGGAUGGAGCUGUGGGGUUGGGAUGGAGCUGUGGGGUUGGGAUGGAGCUGUGGGGUUGGGAUGGAGCUGUGGGGUUGGGAUGGAGCUGUGGGGUUGGGAUGGAGCUGUGGGGUUGGGAUGGAGCUGUGGGGUUGGGAUGGAGCUGUGGGGUUGGGAUGGAGCUGUGGGGUUGGGAUGGAGCUGUGGGGUUGGGAUGGAGCUGUGGGGGGGGGGGGGGGGGGGGGGGGGGGGGGGGGGGGGGGGGGGGGGGGGGGGGGGGGGGGGGGG
ensembl:lncRNA